rnacentral:rRNA from 1 species
GACGAACGCUGGCGGCGUGCCUAACACAUGCAAGUCGAGCGAUGAAGCCCUUCGGGGUGGAUUAGCGGCGGACGGGUGAGUAACACGUGGGUAACCUGCCUCAAAGAGGGGGAUAGCCUCCCGAAAGGGAGAUUAAUACCGCAUAACAUUAGUUUUUCGCAUGGAGAACUAAUUAAAGGAGUAAUCCGCUUUGAGAUGGACCCGCGGCGCAUUAGCUAGUUGGUGAGGUAAAGGCUCACCAAGGCGACGAUGCGUAGCCGACCUGAGAGGGUGAUCGGCCACAUUGGAACUGAGACACGGUCCAGACUCCUACGGGAGGCAGCAGUGGGGAAUAUCGCACAAUGGGCGAAAGCCUGAUGCAGCAACGCCGCGUGAGUGAUGAAGGCCUUCGGGUUGUAAAGCUCUGUCUUUUGGGACGAUAAUGACGGUUCCAAAGGAGGAAGCCACGGCUAACUACGUGCCAGCCGCCGCCGUAACAC